CUUGAGGAGGGCAUGCUGUUCUCUGCCCUCUAGGCCUCCCUGUGGCAUAUUACCCGUUUCUCCUUCAGCCAACCAACUAAGCUUAUUGGUGUAUUUAAUUCUGGCCACCCAGACUGGUUUUUAUUCAGCUCUGCACCUGUUGCUACAGCGAUGAGACACAGGUGGGUACCUGGUUAAGAGAAGAUGUUGGCCUGGCUGCCAGAGGGUGGAUGGACUGAGCUGGGCAUGCACAGCGUCCUGGGAGGGCCUGAGGAUGGAGCCAAGAGCCCCUGGGCGAUUUAAACAGAGCCAACUCUGUCCUGCUUUGGCUCAAGCUGUCCAUGAGCACGGGGUCUCAGAACAAGCCCUGUCGCCUAUCUGGGCCCUUGUUUCUCAUAGUAAGGUGGACAGUGGGCUCGUGGGCUGGAGGGGUCACCGUGGCGCAUCCUCCUGGGGAGGGACGGGAGGGGGGCAGGCAAGCAACACAGCAGCAUGAGCUCCGGGCAGCUGAUCCACCUCUGGGACCCGUCCUCCCACGGUGCAACCCAAGGAGCCACAGCCUGGCCUGAGCCGGUCCCUGCUGCCCUCUCCCCUCACCCGGCCCGUGGCAGGAGGAAGGGGUGGGGCUCACACAGCCCUGGAACCCCAGAGGUACCGUCCAGAUCCAAGGCCUCACUGUGACUCAACCACCUCUUAGUCUGAAAUCUGAGAAGAUUGCAAGGCUGAAGCAGGUUUGUGUUUAAGAAAACAAAAACCAUUGGGCUAUGAAUCUUUGAGAAUCUACUAAAAGCUCU